AAGGAUCAGAACUCAGUUCUGAAUAUAGUUCAGUUGUGUGCUUGACAGCUGAAUGCGGUUAUAGAAUGGACAGUUGAACCAUUCAUCAAUUAACAUGUUCUACCCAUUGUGAAGGACAUGCGUGUGUGUGCCUAGCUCCUCCUCACUGCCCUGAGAAAUUGCCUGUUACUUCUGUUCAUUUCUUCUCCAUUUGUUCGCAGGACACGUCACUGAAAGAUCAUGAUGCUGAGUAUCUCCAGCAUUCUCUCGGUAUGAACACCUGACUUACGGACACCCUUUGCAACCGAUUGAGCCCCAAUAAAUAUUAUUAAGUUCAAACGAGAAUCAGUCUUGAAAUAAAGUUUUCUGUUAUCUUCCCCACAUUAAUCAGAUACUAUUGUCUCUGAAGAACACAGGCCGCUAGCUUUACUAUGGGAGACCUGUGUGGACCAACAGGCUAGAGUAUUCAAGGGCAUCUUUAACCUCUUGCUUCUGUGCUCUGAGGUCCCCACCUGCUUCAAAAGAGCAUCUAUUGUACCGCUUGCCCAAGAAGAGCACAGUGGCCUAUCUCAAUGACUACCGUCCAGUAGUACUUGCAUCCACUGUAAUGAAGUGGUUCAAACCGUUAUUUAUGGCAGGAAUCAACUCCUGCUUCAGAAAUGAAUUGGGUCCACCUCAGGUUGCCAAUCGCCAUAACACGUCAAUGGCUGA